CUCGGGGUGGGGGUUCCCGCAGCCCAAAUUGUGAGAGGGCACAGGCCAGGCUGAGGGACCCCACCUAUGCACA
rnacentral:pre_miRNA from 1 species